GUUUUUUUUAGAAUCUCCUUUUACUCACUUCAUGAUGCAUACUGCUGGGCAAGUAGCUUCACUAAGCAGCUACUGAGAUUCAUCUUAUGGAGCUGCAUCUCAAUGCCAAGUUUAAUGUCUAGAGAAAACAGAACUAUAAAUAGCAGGUUUACAUUCCACUACAGGGGGCAUCAAGGAGGGUGAAAGUUGACAUUGACUUCUUAGGAAAAUGUCUGAGUGAAAUAAAGAAGUCUCUGUGAAGAAGAGAAAGGACUUU
rnacentral:lncRNA from 1 species